AGGCCUUCUACAAGACCUUAAGAACAACUUUUGGAGACCCUGUC
rnacentral:sRNA from 1 species